rnacentral:rRNA from 1 species
CUUGACAUCCAGAGAACUUGGCAGAGAUGGCCUCGGUGCCUUCGGGAACUCUGAGACAGGUGCUGCAUGGCUGUCGUCAGCUCGUGUUGUGAAAUGUUGGGUUAAGUCCCGCAACGAGCGCAACCCCCAUCCUUUGUUGCCAGCGAUUCGGUCGGGAACUCAAAGGAGACUGCCGGUGAUAAACCGGAGGAAGGUGGGGAUGACGUCAAGUCAUCAUGGCCCUUACGAGUAGGGCUACACACGUGCUACAAUGGCGUAUACAAAGAGAAGCGACCUCGCGAGAGCAAGCGGACCUCAUAAAGUACGUCGUAGUCCGGAUUGGAGUCUGCAACUCGACUCCAUGAAGUCGGAAUCGCUAGUAAUCGUAGAUCAGAAUGCUACGGUGAAUACGUUCCCGGGCCUUGUACACACCGCCCGUCACACCAUGGGAGUGGGUUGCAAAAGAAGUAGAUAGCUUAACCUUCGGGAGGGCGUUUACCACUUUGUGAUUCAUGACCGGGGUGAAGUCGUAACAAGGUAGGCGUACGUGU